rnacentral:rRNA from 1 species
UUUGACGAGUCGAGUUGUUUGGGAAUGCAGCUCUAAAUGGGUGGUAAAUUUCAUCUAAAGUUAAAUAUCUGCCAGAGACCGAUAGCGCACAAGUAGAGUGAUCGAAAGAUGAAAAGCACUUUGAAAAGAGAGUCAAACAGUACGUGAAAUUGUUGAAAGGGAAACGCUUGCAACCAGACUCGUUUGCAGAAGCUCAGCCUUCCUUCGGGAUGGUGUACUCUUCUGUGCACGGUCCAGCAUCANUUUCGGCGACCGGAUAAAGAUUCUGAGAACGUAGCUCUCUUUNCAUAGUGUUAUAGCUCGGAAUGUAAUGCGGCAGCUGAGACUGAGGUCCGCGCUUUUGCUAGGAUGCGG